UGUGUAGGCGGUUCUCUAAGUCUGGUGUGAAAUCUCCCGGCUCAACUGGGAGGGUGCGCCGGAAACUGGAGGGCUAGAGUACUGGAUGGGAGAGUGGAAUUCCUGGUGUAGCGGUGAAAUGCGUAGAUAUCAGGAGGAACACCUGUGGUGUAGACGGCUCUCUGGACAGUAACUGACGCUGAGACACGAAAGCGUGGGUAGCAAACA
rnacentral:rRNA from 1 species